CUCUGUUUCUUGAGCUGUCCCUGUUGUGGUUGUAAUUGGUGUUUGUUGCUCAGGAACUUCCUUUUCUCCUGCCCUGUGACUGUUUGUUGUAUCUUUGUCCCAUCUCGGAGCUGUGACUGGACACUCGGGGAUUUCAGCGACUUCAGCCUGGGGCUCUGACACCCGACAUGUGGAGAAGACCUGCACCUUUAUGCUGGAGUGGAUCUCCUUAUGCAGAUGGGCAACGACAUGUGCUUCAAUAUAUUGCAUUUGUUACUAUGAACAAGCCUUAUUCAUUACUGUUUUUAAUUUAGUACUGAAACAGACUCAGUAUGUUUAUACUGGUAGUAACAGUAUUUUAAUAGCAGGCCUGCUGUUAGUCAUCUCACUAAACAGUUUUGAGUCGGGGUGGUAUCUGACACUUUUACCAAAAUGUUUGACAUUAAUAAAGAACAAAGUUCUAUUAAGUCACUACAUAUACUAGUGGCUCCAAAUGCCUGCAAGAUGGGACUUCCAUAUAAAUCAUCCAUCGUCAACCACUUAUCCUGCGUACAGGGUCGCGGGGGGGGCUGAAGCCAAUCCCAGCUGACAUCAGGAUAAAGGCGGGGUACACCCUGGACAGGUCGCCAGUCCAUUGCAGGGCCAUAUGGUGAGGGUCUUAAACUAAAAUCUAUAUCUGAUCUGACAUCCCUGUUUAGGGAACAUGGUAUGCUUGUCUGUCACAACCGACUCAGUGAAUUAAGUCAAAAGAAAUUAAGCAAAGAACUUGUCAAACAUUAUCUGGCUUUCAUAUGAAAACUUAAUAGUGAACUGGAGAGGAAAUAAAGAGGUUUCUUUUGCCUAUCUUAACAUAUAUUUUUUUUUAAAUAAAAGACUAUUGAAUAGUCUGCUUAUUUGACUUGUGGUGCAGUACUCAACUAUGUGUUUGUGUUCUUGUACUGAAAUCUAUGCAAUAAACUCUUUUGCCACCCUGA